GCGGGUCUCGCUGGUUCCAUGGAACUGGGCGGGCGUGGAAUGUGGAACGGGCGUGCCGCGAUUGUUGUGUUGUUUUUCCAAGGGGAAGGUUCUGAGUUGCUUUGUAGGUCCCUGUCGGUACAGGCGAAGCCGACCGACGUCCUGGGAGGCUUUCGGCCAAGGCGACAUCCGGACACGCUCCGGCCGUGGGCUUCUGCCCCCUCUAGCCCUCCGGUUGUUGGCAAGGUCCACGCUUCCAGCCAGCGGACGCUUCUGUUUUGUUAGAUUUCACCGAGCGGCGCUGCCGAGCAGCCAGCCACGAGCCCGACACUGUUUAGCAAACAUUUGUGGAUGUAAAAGAAUAAAACUGACUUGACUAAAACAUUACAAGUGGCAAACGCUGCAGAUCACCUGGGAAGUUUGUUGGAAGUCACCCUGUCUAGUAGGACUGGGGUGAUACCUGAGAUCCUAUACGUAUGGAUUUUUCUGAUGUGGAUCAAUAAAAUGUAAUGACCCACCCG